GACGAACGCUGGCGGCGUGCCUAACACAUGCAAGUCGAACGGAAAGGCCCUGCCUUUGUGGGGUGCUCGAGUGGCGAACGGGUGAGUAACACGUGAGUAACCUGCCCUUGACUUUGGGAUAACUUCAGGAAACUGGGGCUAAUACCGGAUAGGAGCUCCUGCUGCAUGGUGGGGGUUGGAAAGUUUCGGCGGUUGGGGAUGGACUCGCGGCUUAUCAGCUUGUUGGUGGGGUAGUGGCUUACCAAGGCUUUGACGGGUAGCCGGCCUGAGAGGGUGACCGGCCACAUUGAGACUGAGAUGAGGCCCAGACGCGUACGGGAGGCAGAAGUGGGGAAGAUUGCACAAUGGGCGGAAGCUUGAUGCAGCAACGCCGCGUGCGGGAAGACGGCCUUGGCGGUGUAAAACGCUUUCGCCUGUGACGAAGCGUGGGUGACGGUAAUGGGUAAAGAAGCACCGGCUAACUACGUG
rnacentral:rRNA from 1 species